AGGGCACCACCAGGAGUGGAGCCUGCGGCUUAAUUUGACUCAACACGGGAAAACUCACCCGGCCCGGACACUGGAAGGAUUGACAGAUUGAGAGCUCUUUCUUGAUUCAGUGGGUGGUGGUGCAUGGCCGUUCUUAGUUGGUGGAGCGAUUUGUCUGGUUAAUUCCGAUAACGAACGAGACUCUAGCCUACUAAAUAGAUCGUCGGCUUACAAACGCCGAUGAGACUUCUUAGAGGGACAGGCGGCGAUUCAGCCGCACGAAACAGAGCAAUAACAGGUCUGUGAUGCCCUUAGAUGUCCGGGGCCGCACGCGCGCUACACUGAAGUGAUCAGCGUGCAUUUUCUGCCUACUCUGCCAAGAGUGGGAAACCCAAUGAACCUUCUUCGUGAUUGGGAUAGGGGAUUGUAAUUAUUCCCCUUGAACGAGGAAUUCCCAGUAAGCGCGAGUCAUAAGCUCGCGUUGAUUACGUCCCUGCCCUUUGUACACACCGCCCGUCGCUACUACCGAUUGAAUGUUUU
rnacentral:rRNA from 1 species